rnacentral:rRNA from 1 species
GACGAACGCUGGCGGCGUGCCUAAUACAUGCAAGUAGAACGCUGAAGGAGGAGCUUGCUUCUCCGGAUGAGUUGCGAACGGGUGAGUAACGCGUAGGUAACCUGCCUGGUAGCGGGGGAUAACUAUUGGAAACGAUAGCUAAUACCGCAUAACAGUAGAUGUUGCAUGACAUUUGCUUAAAAGGUGCAAUUGCAUCACUACCAGAUGGACCUGCGUUGUAUUAGCUAGUUGGUGAGGUAACGGCUCACCAAGGCGACGAUACAUAGCCGACCUGAGAGGGUGAUCGGCCACACUGGGACUGAGACACGGCCCAGACUCCUACGGGAGGCAGCAGUAGGGAAUCUUCGGCAAUGGACGGAAGUCUGACCGAGCAACGCCGCGUGAGUGAAGAGGGUUUUCGGAUCGUAAAGCUCUGUUGUAAGAGAAGAACGAGUAUGAGAGUGGAAAGUUCACACUGUGACGGUAUCUUACCAGAAAGGGACGGCUAACUACGUG